rnacentral:rRNA from 1 species
GAUGAACGCUGGCGGCGUGCUUAACACAUGCAAGUCGAACGGUGAAGGAGGAGCUUGCUCUUCUGGAUCAGUGGCGAACGGGUGAGUAACACGUGAGCAAUCUGCCCUUGACUCUGGGAUAACAGUUGGAAACAGCUGCUAAUACCGGAUACGAGACGUGACCGCAUGGUCAACGUCUGGAAAGAACUUCGGUCAAGGAUGAGCUCACGGCCUAUCAGCUAGUUGGUGGGGUAAUGGCUCACCAAGGCGACGACGGGUAGCCGGCCUGAGAGGGUGACCGGCCACACUGGGACUGAGACACGGCCCAGACUCCUACGGGAGGCAGCAGUGGGGAAUAUUGCACAAUGGGCGAAAGCCUGAUGCAGCAACGCCGCGUGAGGGACGACGGCCUCGGUGUAACCUCUUUAGCUAAGGAGAAGCGAAAGUGACGGUACGUUGCAGAAAAAGACGACCGGCUAACUACGUGCCAGCAGCCGCGGUAACGU